AAUAAGAUGCCUGAAAUUUAAAGGACUAUUUUGAUAGAAUAGAUUAAGUAUAAGUUAUAUACUCUUAUUA
rnacentral:tRNA from 1 species